ACUGGAUGUGUGCAUUAAUUGGAAGAACACAUCUUCCAAUUAAUGCAUUCUUCCUAGA
rnacentral:pre_miRNA from 1 species